GAGACUCUGUGCGCGUGCAUAUCAAUAAGCGGAGGAAAAGAAACUAACAAGGAUUCCCUUAGUAACGGCGAGUGAAGCGGGAAGAGCUCAAAUUUGAAAUCUUCAAGGUUCUACCUUGACGAAUUGUAGUUUAUAGAAGUGUUUUCUGUUAGUGGAGUGGCAAAAGUUCUUUGGAAUAGGACAUCAUAGAGGGUGAGAAUCCCGUAUUUGGUCAUUCCUCCUAGCGUUGUGAUACACUUUCAACGAGUCGGAUUGUUUGGGAAUGCAGUCCAAAAUGGGUGGUAAAUUUCAUCUAAAGCUAAAUAUUGGCGAGAGACCGAUAGCGAACAAGUACCGUGAGGGAAAGAUGUAAAGAACUUUGAAAAGAGAGUUAAACAGUACGUGAAAUUGUCAAAAGGGAAGCGUUUGACACCAGUGUUGUUUUUCCGAAAAUCAAUUACGAAUGUUUUGUUUUUAAGAAGUUAUGACGUCAUCGGCUUGCUUCUUUCUUUACGAAACUUUCUUAAUGCACUUUUCGGUUAACAAGUCAACAUCAAUUUCUUUUGUUGUAAAAGGGUAUGAGGAAGGUGGCUUUCUUUUCGGAGAAAGUGUUUAUAGCCUUGUGCCUCUGCAAUCGGAGAGGUUGAGGUCUGCAGCGUAGAUCCUUCGGGGUUAGAUACAUUUGUGCUAAGUUAUAGCUCUUCAUAGACAUCUUGUUGACUAUGUUUAGUCUUGUAGCUUACUCGCUUAUGCUAUUUUACCUACGCUUAGGAUGUUGACAGCAGUAUAGACUGU
rnacentral:rRNA from 1 species